GACGUAGGGCGCGAGCGUUGUCCGGAUUUAUUGGGCGUAAAGAGCUCGUAGGUGGUUUGUCACGUUGUUCGUGAAAACUCACAGCUCAACUGUGGGCGUGCGGGCGAUACGGGCAGACUGGAGUACUGCAGGGGAGACUGGAAUUCCUGGUGUAGCGGUGGAAUGCGCAGAUAUCAGGAGGAACACCGGUGGCGAAGGCGGGUCUCUGGGCAGUAACUGACGCUGAGGAGCGAAAGCGUGGGGAGCGAACAGG
rnacentral:rRNA from 1 species